rnacentral:rRNA from 1 species
UACGUAGGGGGCAAGCGUUGUCCGGAUUUAUUGGGCGUAAAGAGCGUGUAGGCGGCCAAGCAGGUCAGCUGUGAAAACUCGAGGCUCAACCUCGAGACGUCGGUUGAAACCGCUUGGCUAGAGUCCGGAAGAGGAGAGUGGAAUCCCCGGUGUAGCGGUGAAAUGCGCAGAUAUCAGGAGGAACACCGGUGGCGAAGGCGGUCUCUGGCAUUACCUGACGCUGAGGAGCGAAAGUGUGGGAGCGAACAGG